CCUACGGGUGGCAGCAGUGAGGAAUAUUGGUCAAGGGGCGCGAGCCUGAACCAGCCAAGUAGCGUGAAGGAUGACUGCCCUACGGGGUGUAAACUUCUUUUAUAAAGGAAUAAAGUGAGGCACGUGUGCCUUUUUGUAUGUACUUUAUGAAUAAGGAUCGGCUAACUCCGUGCCAGCAGCCGCGGUAAUACGGAGGAUCCGAGCGUUAGCCGGAUUUAUUGGGGUGAAAGGGAGCGUAGAUGGGUUGUUAAGUCAGUUGUGAAAGUUUGCGGCUCAACCGUAAAAUUGCAAUUGAUACUGGCAGCCUUUAGUACCGUUGAGGUAGGCGGCAUUCGUGGUGUAGCGGUGACAUGCUUAGAUAUCACG
rnacentral:rRNA from 1 species